rnacentral:lncRNA from 1 species
AAAGAAGGAAAGAAAAGAAAGAAAAGCAAGCAAGCAAGCAAGCAAGCAGCCAAAGCCCUGGGAACCCAUCGAGGAAUGGCCCUGGAGGCAGAGUUACCCUCAGCCACAGGCCAGAGAUCAAACAUCGCUGAACCAGUGUGAGGAAAAGAAUGGCAGGCAGACGUCUUCUUUUUCCGCACACAGACUGUAAUCAGCUCUCCACAAGGUCAUCCCAGAACACCAAGGACAGUCCAGAUACCUCCUGGCUCUCCUCAGUAAUGGACAGAAGCAGUGGUGCAGAUAAUAUGCCCAAAUGGCGGGCUCCAGUUCUCCCUGGGUUCCAGGAACACCAUCUCCUUCCUCGUUCCUUCUGUCCCAGGGAAGGUUUACACUGAAAAUUUUUUGUGAUGAAAAGAUUUGAAGAAGACGACAGGAGACGGAGAAGCACCAGCUGAUCUGCAGACUCCGAGGAGGUCCCAGGAAGAGGUGUCAUCCACUGAGAUCUUCUGGGACAGGAAAGCCCUGUGAUACCUCUU